AUGGCGUCCCCCACGGCGCCGCUGGGCGGCUCCACCCCGUCGGGCCGCGUGCUCGGCCCCGCGCUCGACCGCAUCAUCAAAAACGCCGCGUGGCGGAAGCACUCGGCGCUCGUCGCCGCGGCCAAGUCGGCGCUCGACCUCCUCUCCUCCUCCUCCUACCACUCGCCCGACCCAACCUCGCCCAACCCCUCGCCGCUCCUCGGCCUGCCCGUCGCCGCGGCCGCCGCCUCGCUGCACGCGCUCAUCCUCGCGCUCGAGUCCGCCUCCCCCAAGGUCGCCGACCCCGCGCUCGACUGCGUCGCCAAGCUCCUCUACCACCGCCUCCUCCUCGGCGACCUCGGCGAGGCUGCCGACGACUCACCCGCCUCCAAGCUCCUCGCCGCCGUCCUCUCCUGCGGCGCCCUUAACGACGACGCCAUGGAGCUCGCCACCCUCCGCGUGCUCCUCGCCGCCGCGCGCUGCCCCUCCAUCGCCAUCCGCGGCGACGGCCUCGGCCAAAUGCUCAAGACCUGCUACAACAUAUACCUCAGCAGCAGCAGCGGCGCCAAUCAGAUGUGCGCCAAGCUGGCGCUCGCGCAGGUGCUGGUCAUCGUGUUCGCGCGCGUGGAGGUGGACUCCAUGGACGUGCGUGUGCCGACGGUGUCCAUCACGGACAUGAUGGAUGUGUCCGAUCACCGCCUCAACGACUCCGGCAUCGUGCAGGUGGCACAGGGGUUUAUAAAUGAUGCCAUGGAAGGGAGUGACGUCCCGGAGCCAGGGACCCCGGUGGCGAUGGCUGAGGUCGAUGAGAAGGAUGAUGAGGGGAUGAGCAAGAUCAGGGAGGAUGGGUUAGCACUCUUUAAGAACCUCUGCAAGCUGUCAAUGAAGUUCUCAACACCAGAUAACCCCGAGGACCAGGUGCUGUUGCGAGGGAAGGUGUUGUCUCUCGAGUUGCUCAAGAUGGUUGUGGACAAUGCUGGACCAUUCUGGAGAAUCAAUGAAAAGUACCUUGGAGCAAUAAAGCAGUAUCUUUGUUUGUCCUUGUUGAAAAACAGUGCCUUGUCAGCAAUGAGUAUUUUCCAGCUUUUGUGCUCCAUAUUUGUGGGUUUGCUGUCAAGAUUUAGAUCUGGACUGAAAGAAGAAAUUGGAAUAUUUUUUCCCAUGCUUGUCCUAAGGGUUCUUGAGAAUGUCCAUCAGCCUAGCUUUCUGCAGAAAAUGACAGUUCUAAAUUUGUUGGAGGACAUCUGUAAAGAAUCUCAGGUUCUUAUUGGUAUCUUCGUCAACUACGAUUGUGAUGUUGAUGCACCAAAUAUUUUUGAAAGGAUUGUCAAUGGACUUCUAAAGACCGCUCUCGGGGUUACUCCUGGAGCCACAACAACAUUAACCCCAGUCCAAGACCAAACAUUUCGGACUGAGUCAGUCAAGUGCCUUGCUACCAUACUCAAAUCAAUGGGUUCAUGGAUGGACCAACAGUUGAGAAUUGGUGAUUUUUCACCCAAAAUUUCCGAGGUCUCUUUAAAUUCGCUAGACAGUCCUAACAUUGGAGAAGAUGGGAGUGGAAUUGAUUAUGAACUGCAAUCUGACUCUUAUAGCCCAGAUACAUCUGAUGCUUCCUCACUUGAGCAACGUCGUGCUUAUAAAAUAGAACUUCAGAAAGGAAUUUCCAUGUUUAACAGAAAGCCUUCUAAGGGUAUUGAUUUUCUCAUUAAAAGCAAGAAAAUAGGUCAAUCCCCAGAAGAUGUUGCUUCUUUCUUGAGAAACACUGCUGGUUUAAAUGCAACAAUGAUUGGGGACUAUUUGGGUGAAAGAGAUGAAUUCCCUAUCAAAGUUAUGCAUGCAUAUGUCGAUGCACUGAAUUUUGAAGGUAUUGACUUCGGUGAAGCCAUUAGGUAUUACCUGCGAGGUUUCAGGUUGCCUGGGGAAGCACAGAAAAUCGACCGGGUCAUGGAAAAGUUUGCUGAACGAUACUGCAAGUGCAACCCGAAUUCUUUUACCAGUGCAGAUACUGCAUAUGUUCUUGCUUAUUCUGUAAUCAUGCUCAAUACUGAUGCUCAUAAUAUGAUGGUCAAGGAUAAGAUGUCUAGAUCUGACUUCAUUCGGAACAACCGAGGAAUUGAUGAUGGAAAGGAUUUGCCUGAAGUUUAUCUGAGUACAUUGUAUGACCAAAUUGUAAAAAAUGAGAUCAAAAUGAGUGCUGAUUCAUCAGUUCCACAAAACAAGCAACCUAGCAGUGUAAUGAAGCUCUUGGGCUUAGACAAUAUUAUAAACCUUGUCAACUGGAAGCAGGCUGAAGAUAAGGCACUUGGAGCAAAUGACUUACUCAUCAAGAACAUACAGGAGAAAUUCAAAGCAAAGAGCGCGAAAUCAGAAUCUGUAUUUUAUGUUAUUACCGAUACAACCAUUUUGCGAUUCAUGAUGGAGGUUUGUUGGGCCCCUAUGAUGGCUGCAUUCAGCAUGACGCUUGACCAAUGUGAUGAUAAGGCUGCAACGUCGCAGUGUUUGCAGGGAUUCAGAUACGCAGUGCAUGUCACCUCCGUAAUGUGCAUGCAGACGCAAAGAGAUGCCUUUGUGACAUCUGUAGCCAAGUUCACAUACCUUCAUUGUGUGGCAGACAUGAAACAGAAGAAUGUGGAUGCUGUGAAGGCUAUAAUAUCCAUUGCAAUCGAAGAUGGUGAUUAUUUGCAGGAAGCUUGGGAGCAUGUGCUAACAUGUCUUUCACGGUUUGAGCAUUUGCAUCUUCUUGGAGAAGGGGCACCUACGGAUGCUUCCUUUUUGACAGUACCUCUGGUUGAUUCAGAAGAAAAAACACAGAAAUCAAGUACCAAUACAGCCUCAAAACGAAAUAAUGCUCUUCAGAAUCCAGCUGUCAUGGCUGCUGUUCGAGGCGGUUCUUAUGACAGCACAACAGCAAAAAAUAAUGCCUCAGCUUUAGUUACUCCUGACCAGAUUAACAACUUCAUAUCAAACAUUAAUCUAUUAGACCAGAUUGGCAUUUUUGAGUUGAAUCAUAUAUUUGCUCAUAGCCAAAGAUUAAAUAGCAAUGCAAUUGUUACUUUUGUGGAAGCUCUUUGCAAGGUCGCAAUCACAGAGUUGCAAUCACCUACAGAUCCUCGUAUCUUCUGCCUAACGAAGAUAGUGGAAAUUGCGCAUUACAAUAUGAACCGCAUACGUUUGGUGUGGUCUCGUAUUUGGAAAGUUCUAUCUGAUUUCUUUGUGUCUGUUGGGUCGUCAGAAAAUCUUUCUGUGGCAAUAUUCGUUAUGGACUCCUUGAGGCAGCUAGCCAUGAAAUUUCUUGAAAGAGAAGAACUAGCAAAUUAUAAUUUCCAGAAUGAAUUCCUGCGACCUUUUGCGGUGGUUAUGCAGAAGAGCAAUGCUUCAGAAGUACGAGAACUUGUGGUUCGAUGUGUCUCCCAAAUGGUUUUGAGUCGUGUUAACAAUAUAAAAUCAGGAUGGAAAAGCGUUUUCACGGUUUUUACUGCGGCUGCUGCUGAUGAUCGAAAAAGCAUUGUUCUGUUAGCAUUUGAAACUAUGGAGAAGAUUGUCCGGGACUAUUUUCCAUACAUAACUGAGACUGAAACCACAACAUUUACUGAUUGUGUUAAAUGUCUUAUUACAUUCACAAGUAGUAAAUUUAGCAGCGAUGCCAGUCUCAAUGCUAUUGCUUUUCUUCGGUUCUGUGCUGUGAAACUUGCUGAGGAAGGAUUUGUCUGUCAUGACAAGGAUACCGACCAUCAAUCAAAUAAUUUGGAUUCUUCAGAGGGGAAUGCCAUAGUGCACAAGGAUGAUCAUGUUUACUUCUGGGUUCCUUUGCUUGCUGGUCUAGCUAGAUUGACAACCGACACACGGCCAACUAUCAGAAAAGGUGCAGUAGAAGUACUCUUUGACAUUUUGAAGGACCAUGGAGAACUCUUCUCUCAGUCCUUCUGGACCAAUAUCUUUGGAUCUGUUAUUUAUCCUCUAUUUAAUAGUGAAAUCUGUACACCCAAUGGUCAAAGUGAUAGCACUGAGGAUGGUUCAUGGAAUUUUGAAACUAAAACAGUGGCUGUGAAAUGUUUAGUGGAUCUGUAUGUUACAUUUUUUGAUGUGAUGCGGCCAGAACUCACUAGAGUUACCUCUGUUGUUACCAGUUUUAUCAGAAGCGCUUAUAGACAAUCUGCUAGCAUUGGUAUGUCUGUUUUUCAGCGUUUAACAGAAGGGCUUGCAAGCAAACUCUCCAAGGACGAAUGGAAAGAGAUCUUAUUAUGCUUUAAAGAAUCAGCAGCACAUACGUUGGUUGUUUUCGACAAAAUAGUUAAGAUGAUGCAAAAUAUUGAAAUUCCAGAAAGAAACGAGUCUUACUCUGAAGCAGAGAAAUAUUCAGAUCCUGACAUAGAGGAUGAAGAGGAAGCUAAUAUGGAAACAUCGUCUUAUGCCAUUGUCAAGAUGAAGAACCAUAUGUCUCUGCAACUCUUAAUUGUUCAGGGAAUUGUUAAGUUGUAUGAGACACACAGGAGAUCCUUCUGUGCUGAGCAUAUGGGCAUAAUUUUGGAGAUGCUAUCAGCCAUUACGUCCCAUGCAAGUGAAGUGAGUUCUGAAUCUGCUUUGCACAUCAAAUUCCACAAAGCAUGCUCCCUUCUGGAGAUAUCUGAGCCCGCAGUCAUCCAUUUCGAGAAUGAGUCUUACCAGAGCUACCUCAAACUUCUGCAAGCUUUGCUUCACGACAACCCAUCUUUGUCACGAGAAAUGAACAUUGAGUCACAAAUUAUGCUUGUUUCUGUGAAAAUACUACGGAAGUAUCUGAAUUGUGCAGGUCAGGAACCAUCCAAGGAUGCUUCUUGUAAAGAUCCAGUUGUACACUGGGCGCUGCCUUUAUCCGCUGCUAAGAAAGAGGAACUGUCUGCUAGAACCCCAUUGGUCCUUCAUGUAAUGCGGUUACUUGGUGGUCUAGAGAGGGAGUGCUUUAGGAGGAAUUUGCCCCUCCUUUUCCCUUUAUUAGCUAAUCUCGUUCGCUGCGAGCAUAGCUCUAGAGAGGUUCAAGUUGCACUGUAUGAUGUCUUUCAGUCAUCAAUAGGCCCUAUUAUUUCAGUAUAG
rnacentral:rRNA from 1 species